rnacentral:rRNA from 1 species
UAGGGAAUCUUGCACAAUGGGCGCAAGCCUGAUGCAGCAACGCCGCGUGCGCGAUGAAGGCCUUCGGGUCGUAAAGCGCUUUUCUGGAGGACGAGAAGGGACGGUACUCCAGGAAGAAGGCUCGGCUAACUACGUGCCAGCAGCCGCGGUAAAACGUAGGAGCCUAGCGUUAUCCGAAUUUACUGGGCGUAAAGCGCGUGCAGGCGGCUUGGGUAAGUUGGGCUGUGAAAUCUCCCGGCUCAACUGGGAGGGGACGGUCAAGACUGCCAGGCUGGAGGCAGGGAGAGGGAGGUGGAAUUCCCGGUGUAGUGGUGAAAUGCGUAGAGAUCGGGAGGACACCUGUGGCGAAAGCGGCCUCCUGGCCCUGACCUGACGCUGAGACGCGAAAGCUAGGGGAGCGAACGGGAUUAGAAACCCCGGUAGUCCUAGCCGUAAACGAUGUCGACUGGGCGGCGGUGGGGUAAAAGCCGAUCGGUGCCGCAGCUAACGCGC